AUGAUGUAGACUUGAAGGGGCACAGGUAGAAAGACAAGAUUUAAGGAGGGAAUUCCAGACGUUAGUGCCUAAAUAGGUGAAAGAAAUUGGGGUGCACUUGGGUCUGGAAUUGGAGGAGUACUAUCCAGGAGGAAUUGUAGACCAAUAAUCAUCUGAAAGCUUUACAGAUGAGAAGCCAGACCAACUCUCAUCAAGAGAGCACUUCAUUGGACCCCUGAAGGGCAAAGGAAACACGGGAGACUGAAGACAGCUUGGUGCUGUACCGCAGAGGGAGAGAUGAGGACCCUGAAGCACACCUGGGGCACCGUAGAGAAGAUGGCCAAGGAUAGAGAGAGAUGGAGGGCCUUCACAGCGGCAUAACAGGCAGUAAGCCACGAACUUAUCAAUCACCCCUGCUGUGGACCACUUUCUGGAGGUCCAAGAUGCCGACUUCUACAAAGAAAGGAUCGUAUGCUCCACGACCGCUGGACUAAGUUUGUAAAUGUAGGAGGGGACUAUGUUG